AUAUGGUCAAGCGAAUAAGCGCACACGGUGGAUGCCUAGGCGGUCAGAGGCGAUGAAGGACGUGGUAGCCUGCGAAAAGUGUCGGGGAGCUGGCAACAAGCUUUGAUCCGGCAAUAUCCGAAUGGGGAAACCCACUGCUUCGGCAGUAUCCUGCAGUGAAUUCAUAGCUGCUGGAAGCGAACCCGGUGAACUGAAAUAUCUAAGUAACCGGAGGAAAAGAAAUCAACCGAGAUUCCCUAAGUAGUGACGAGCGAACGGGGAGCAGCCCUUAAGCUGGAAUGGCUUUAGAAAAACAAUCUGGAAAGAUUGGCCAUAGAAGGUGAUAGCCCUGUAUUUAAAAGGGCCACUCCAGUGAAGACGAGUAGGGCGGGGCACGUGAAACCCUGUCUGAAUAUGGGGGGACCAUCCUCCAAGGCUAAAUACUCCUGACCGACCGAUAGUGAACCAGUACCGUGAGGGAAAGGCGAAAAGAACCCCGGAGAGGGGAGUGAAAUAGAUCCUGAAACCGUGUGCGUACAAGCAGUAGGAGCUCGCAAGAGUGACUGCGUACCUUUUGUAUAAUGGGUCAGCGACUUACUGUUCGUGGCAAGCUUAACCGUAUAGGGGAGGCGAAGGGAAACCGAGUCUGAUAAGGGCGCAUAGUCGCGGGCAGUAGACCCGAAACCGGGUGAUCUAGUCAUGGCCAGGGUGAAGGUGCCGUAACAGGUACUGGAGGCCCGAACCCACGUCUGUUGCAAAAGACGGGGAUGAGCUGUGAUUAGGAGUGAAAAGCUAAUCGAACCCGGAGAUAGCUGGUUCUCCUCGAAAGCUAUUUAGGUAGCGCCUCGGACGAAUACUACUGGGGGUAGAGCACUGUUAUGGCUAGGGGGUCAUCGCGACUUACCAAACCAUUGCAAACUCCGAAUACCAGUACGUACUAUCCGGGAGACACACGGCGGGUGCUAACGUCCGUCGUGAAAAGGGAAACAACCCAGACCCACAGCUAAGGUCCCAAAUUCACUGCUAAGUGGAAAACGAUGUGGAAAGGCAUAGACAGCCAGGAGGUUGGCUUAGAAGCAGCCACCCUUUAAAGAAAGCGUAAUAGCUCACUGGUCGAGUCGGUCUGCGCGGAAGAUUUAACGGGGCUAAGCAGUGAACCGAAGCUUGGGGUGCAUAAAACUUGUUUUAUGCGCGGUAGAGGAGCGUUCCGUAAGCCUGCGAAGGUGGAUUGAGAAGUCUGCUGGAGGUAUCGGAAGUGCGAAUGCUGACAUGAGUAACGAUAAUGCGGGUGAAAAGCCCGCACGCCGAAAGCCCAAGGUUUCCUUGCGCAACGUUAAUCGACGCAGGGUUAGUCGGUCCCUAAGGCGAGGGCGAAAGCCGUAGUCGAUGGGAAGCAGGUUAAUAUUCCUGCACCUCGCGUGAGUGCGAUGGAGGGACGGAGAAGGUUAGGUGUACCGGGCGUUGGUUGUCCCGGGGAAAGGCGGUAGGUUUGGAUCUUUGGCAAAUCCGGGAUCCUUUAAGACCGAGCACCGAGACGAGCCUUUAUGGCGAAGUCACUGAUACCACGCUUCCAGGAAAAGCUCCUAAGCUUCAGCUCACGAAGACCGUACCGUAAACCGACACAGGUGGGUAGGAUGAGAAUUCUCAGGCGCUUGAGAGAACUCGGGUGAAGGAACUAGGCAACAUGGCACCGUAACUUCGGGAGAAGGUGCACCCUUUUUGGUGGCUCAUGCGAGCUAUAGCUGAAGAGGGUCGCAGAAACCAGGCCGCUGCGACUGUUUAUCAAAAACACAGCACUCUGCAAACACGAAAGUGGACGUAUAGGGUGUGACGCCUGCCCGGUGCUGGAAGGUUAAUUGAUGGGGUCAGCCGCAAGGCGAAGCUCUUGAUCGAAGCCCCAGUAAACGGCGGCCGUAACUAUAACGGUCCUAAGGUAGCGAAAUUCCUUGUCGGGUAAGUUCCGACCUGCACGAAUGGCGUAACGACAGCGGCGCUGUCUCCACCCGAGACUCAGUGAAAUUGAAAUCGCUGUGAAGAUGCAGCGUUCCCGUGGCAAGACGGAAAGACCCCGUGAACCUUUACUAUAGCUUUACACUGAACGUUGAGUUCGUCUGUGUAGGAUAGGUGGGAGGCUAUGAAACUGUGGCGCUAGCUGCAGUGGAGCCAUCCUUGAAAUACCACCCUGUCGUGCUUGACGUUCUAACCUAGGUCCGUUAUCCGGAUCAGGGACCGUGUAUGGUGGGUAGUUUGACUGGGGCGGUCUCCUCCUAAAGAGUAACGGAGGAGCACGAAGGUACGCUCAGCGCGGUCGGACAUCGCGCACUGUGUGCAAAGGCAUAAGCGUGCUUGACUGCAAGAUCGACGGAUCAAGCAGGUACGAAAGUAGGUCUUAGUGAUCCGGUGGUUCUGUAUGGAAGGGCCAUCGCUCAACGGAUAAAAGGUACUCCGGGGAUAACAGGCUGAUACCGCCCAAGAGUUCAUAUCGACGGCGGUGUUUGGCACCUCGAUGUCGGCUCAUCACAUCCUGGGGCUGUAGUCGGUCCCAAGGGUAUGGCUGUUCGCCAUUUAAAGUGGUACGCGAGCUGGGUUCAGAACGUCGUGAGACAGUUCGGUCCCUAUCUGCCAUGGGCGUUGGAAGUUUGAGAGGGGCUGCUCCUAGUACGAGAGGACCGGAGUGGACGAACCUCUGGUGUUCCGGUUGUCACGCCAGUGGCAUUGCCGGGUAGCUAUGUUCGGAAGCGAUAACCGCUGAAAGCAUCUAAGCGGGAAGCGCGCCUCAAGAUGAGACUUCCCGGGGCACAAGCCCCCUAAAGGAACCAUGUAGACUACGUGGUUGAUAGGUCAGGUGUGUAAGUACAGCAAUGUAUUGAGCUAACUGAUACUAAUGAUCCGUGCGGCUUGACCAU
rnacentral:rRNA from 1 species